rnacentral:rRNA from 1 species
GAAACCGAGUCUUAAUUGGGCGUUAAGUUGCAGGGUAUAGACCCGAAACCCGGUGAUCUAGCCAUGGGCAGGUUGAAGGUUGGGUAACACUAACUGGAGGACCGAACCGACUAAUGUUGAAAAAUUAGCGGAUGACCUGUGGCUGGGGGUGAAAGGCCAAUCAAACCGGGAGAUAGCUGGUUCUCCCCGAAAGCUAUUUAGGUAGCGCCUCGUGAAUUCAUCUCCGGGGGUAGAGCACUGUUUCGGCUAGGGGGCCAUCCCGGCUUACCAACCCGAUGCAAACUGCGAAUACCGGAGAAUGUUAUCACGGGAGACACACGGCGGGUGCUAACGUCCGUCGUGAAGAGGGAAACAACCCAGACCGCCAGCUAAGGUCCCAAAGUCAUGGUUAAGUGGGAAACGAUGUGGGAAGGCCCAGACAGCCAGGAUGUUGGCUUAGAAGCAGCCAUCAUUUAAAGAAAGCGUAAUAGCUCACUGGUCGAGUCGGCCUGCGCGGAAGAUGUAACGGGGCUAAACCAUGCACCGAAGCUGCGGCAGCGAACGUAUCACCCAAGACAACUUUGCGGAGUUGACGAUUGACGGAGCGAAGCGACGUCAAAGCGUUCAUUAAAGUCGAGUUGGCUUAGGGAUACGUUCGUUGGGUAGGGGAGCGUUCUGUAAGCCUGUGAAGGUGUGCUGUGAGGCAUGCUGGAGGUAUCAGAAGUGCGAAUGCUGACAUAAGUAACGAUAAAGCGGGUGAAAAGCCCGCUCGCCGGAAGACCAAGGGUUCCUGUCCAACGUUAAUCGGGGCAGGGUGAGUCGACCCCUAAGGCGAGGCCGAAAGGCGUAGUCGAUGGGAAACGGGUUAAUAUUCCCGUACUUGGUGUUACUGCGAAGGGGGGACGGAGAAGGCUAUGUUGGCCGGGCGACGGUU